rnacentral:lncRNA from 1 species
UAUAGAGAUACUUGCAAUGCUGAUUAUUUUUGUUGUUGCUGUGGUUAAAAUGUGAAAUAGGAGAACAUUUAGCUGGUCACUCACUCCAAAAUGUAUUUUCCUUCUUUAAGAAAGAUAUAAGCCGGGCCUAGGUGAGACACAUCUACCUACAAGCAGAUGUGAAACACCUUCACAAUAAUAACAAGGUUUGCGAGGAACCCGUAUUAUGCUUUUAAUUGCUUUUGUCAGUCAAAAAUAUCAACUGAGUACCCAGUUGAAGCUGAAUGCUGCAUGGAAGCUGGGAGAUGGCAAGAGAAAGAAAGCCCAGAAAACCCUCGAAUAACUUGAAUGCUUGAGACAUAUAUGCUCUGAUGACCUAGGUUUUCAGGCAACAGCGGUAAACUUCCAGAGCAACGUCCACAUUGUGAGGACACGUGGAUUCUGCCCGAGGUCACAAAAAGUGCACGUGGACCCUCAGCCCAGAUGGCUAGGUAGAAGGCCCAUUGAGAAGCUGGAAGUUCUCAAUCUGUUGAAAUCCAUGGAGAUUUUCCUUCUUGUGAGUCUUCCACUCACUGUACUGCGUAGACGAGAGUCUUUACAGCAGGUCUGCGGUUUAAAAUCCUGUAGUUCAGCAAGGUAAGCACAUGCUGUUGAUUGACAGCUCAUCUUCCCCUUAAAAGGGGCCAUGGUGGGGA